rnacentral:misc_RNA from 1 species
AAAGUCGUAACAAGGUUUCCGUAGGUGAACCUGCGGAAGGAUCAUUAUCGAGUAAAACCGAAGUGAACUGCGCUGGCACUGCAAGUGCGCGUUCGCUCUCGUCCACUCACCCCUGUGCACCUUUGGAGGAUGACCGGAAAGCUCUCUCGAGGGUUGGAAAGUCGCCUCUCUUUACACAAACACUUAACAGUUUAUAGAAUGUAACUUUGCUUAACGCAAUAACAUACAACUUUCAACAACGGAUCUCUUGGCUCUC